rnacentral:rRNA from 1 species
AGAGUUUGAUCCUGGCUCAGAACGAACGCUGGCGGCGUGGAUAAGACAUGCAAGUCGAACGGGAUUAUUUCUAGUAGCAAUACCGGGAAUAAUUUAGUGGCGAACGGGUGCGUAACACGUGGGCAAUCUGCCGAGAAGUGGGGGAUAGCUCGCCGAAAGGCGAAUUAAUACCGCAUGUGGUGAGGGACGACAUCUUCCUGAAUCCAAAGCCGGGGCAACCUGGCGCUUUUUGAGGAGCCCGCGGCCUAUCAGCUAGUUGGUGAGGUAACGGCCCACCAAGGCUAUGACGGGUAGCUGGUCUGAGAGGACGACCAGUCACACUGGAACUGAGACACGGUCCAGACACCUACGGGUGGCAGCAGUCGAGAAUUUUUCUCAAUGGGGGAAACCCUGAAGGAGCGACGCCGCGUGGAGGAUGAAGGCUUUCGGGUUGUAAACUCCUGUCAUUUGGGAACAAGUUGGACGUGUUAACUGCGCGUCCAUUGAUAGUACCAGAAGAGGAAGAGACGGCUAACUCUGUGCCAGCAGCCGCGGUAAUACAGAGGUCUCGAGCGUUGUUCGGAUUCAUUGGGCGUAAAGGGUGCGUAGGUGGCGCCGUAAGUCGGGUGUGAAAUUUCGGAGCUUAACUCCGAAACUGCAUUCGAUACUGCGGUGCUUGAGGACUGGAGAGGAGACUGGAAUUCAUGGUGUAGCAGUGAAAUGCGUAGAGAUCAUGAGGAAGACCAGUGGCGAAGGCGGGUCUCUGGACAGUUCCUGACACUGAGGCACGAAGGCCAGGGGAGCAAACGGGAUUAGAUACCCUAGUAGUCC